UUAAACUUUUUAGUGAGAGUUUGAUCCUGGCUCAGGACGAACGCUGGCGGCGUGCCUAACACAUGCAAGU
rnacentral:rRNA from 1 species